CGGGAUGGUACAUAGCAUGGCUAUUCUGAAGAUGGAGCAUUAUUUUAUUGGGUUUCCUCAGAUCCUCAUCUUAGAUGCCAACAGCUAUAUUCCCUUUGUGAGAAAACAAUCGUAAGCAUUUCUGUUGGUAAGUAUUGGGCUGCAACUGCUACUGCUAUAGGUGAUGUUUACAUGUGGGAUGGCAAGAAAAGUAUGGAUAAACCACCGAGUUAAGGGAAAAAAGAUCCCUUAAAGAGUUGAUGAGAGUUGGUCAUGAGAGAAUGUAACAUGUAAACAAUUUUCUAAUAUAGAAUGUAACUUGUAAACAGAACUUAUGUAUUCUAAUGUAAUUCUAAUAUAGAAUGUAAACAAUUUUCUUAUGUAAUUCUAAUAUAGAAUGUAACUUGUUUUA